UCGGGGUACUCGAGUGGCGAACGGGUGAGUAACACGUGGGUGAUCUGCCCUGCACUUUGGGAUAAGCCUGGGAAACUGGGUCUAAUACCGAAUAUGACCAUGCACUUCCUGGUGUGUGGUGGAAAGCUUUUGCGGUGUGGGAUGGGCCCGCGGCCUAUCAGCUUGUUGGUGGGGUAAUGGCCUACCAAGGCGACGACGGGUAGCCGGCCUGAGAGGGUGACCGGCCACACUGGGACUGAGAUACGGCCCAGACUCCUACGGGAGGCAGCAGUGGGGAAUAUUGCACAAUGGGCGCAAGCCUGAUGCAGCGACGCCGCGUGAGGGAUGACGGCCUUUCGGGUUGUAAACCUCUUUCAAUAGGGACGAAGCGCAAGUGACGGUACCUAUAGAAGAAGGACCGGCCAACUACGUGCCAGCAGCCGCGGUAAUACGUAGGGUCCGAGCGUUGUCCGGAAUUACUGGGCGUAAAGAGCUCGUAGGUGGUUUGUCGCGUUGUUCGUGAAAACUCACAGCUUAACUGUGGGCGUGCGGGCGAUACGGGCAGACUAGAGUACUGCAGGGGAGACUGGAAUUCCUGGUGUAGCGGUGGAAUGCGCAGAUAUCAGGAGGAACACCGGUGGCGAAGGCGGGUCUCUGGGCAGUAACUGACGCUGAGGAGCGAAAGCGUGGGGAGCGAACAGGAUUAGAUACCCUGGUAGUCCACGCCGUAAACGGUGGGUACUAGGUGUGGGUUUCCUUCCUUGGGAUCCGUGCCGUAGCUAACGCAUUAAGUACCCCGCCUGGGGAGUACGGCCGCAAGGCUAAAACUCAAAGAAAUUGACGGGGGCCCGCACAAGCGGCGGAGCAUGUGGAUUAAUUCGAUGCAACGCGAAGAACCUUACCUGGGUUUGACAUGCACAGGACGCCGGCAGAGAUGUCGGUUCCCUUGUGGCCUGUGUGCAGGUGGUGCAUGGCUGUCGUCAGCUCGUGUCGUGAGAUGUUGGGUUAAGUCCCGCAACGAGCGCAACCCUUGUCUCAUGUUGCCAGCACGUAAUGGUGGGGACUCGUGAGAGACUGCCGGGGUCAACUCGGAGGAAGGUGGGGAUGACGUCNNUUCAUCAUGCCCCUUAUGUCCAGGGCUUCACACAUGCUACAAUGGCCGGUACAAAGGGCUGCGAUGCCGUGAGGUGGAGCGAAUCCUUUCAAAGCCGGUCUCAAGUUCGGAUCGGGGUCUGCAACUCGACCCCGUGAAGUCGGAGUCGCUAGUAAUCGCAGAUCAGCAACGCUGCGGUGAAUACGUUCCCGGGCCUUGUACACACCGCCCGUCACGUCAUGAANAAGUCGGUAACACCCGAAGCCGG
rnacentral:rRNA from 2 species